AGUUGGGCACUCUAGUGAGACUGCCGGUGACAAACCGGAGGAAGGUGGGGACGACGUCAGAUCAUCAUGCCCCUUAUGACCUGGGCUACACACGUGCUACAAUGGACGGUACAACGAGUCGCAAACUCGCGAGAGUAAGCUAAUCUCUUAAAGCCGUUCUCAGUUCGGACUGUAGGCUGCAACUCGCCUACACGAAGUCGGAAUCGCUAGUAAUCGCGGAUCAGCAUGCCGCGGUGAAUACGUUCCCGGGCCUUGUACACACCGCCCGUCACACCAUGGGAGUUUGUAACGCCCAAAGUCGGUGGCCUAACCUUUAUGGAGGGAGCCGCCUAAGGCGGGACAGAUGACUGGGGUGAAGUCGUAACAAGGUAGCCGUAGGAGAACCUGCGGCUGGAUCACCUCCUUUCUAAGGAA
rnacentral:rRNA from 1 species